CGUACUAGGCGGGGCGCUAGCGGUGCCCUGUAACCCACAAUCCGCUUUAGGUGGGGCUGAAUACCAAUCUAGAUAGUCUGGCUUUUAUCUUUGUGAUAAGCUAGUAUUGUUGAGCGUCUUGGUCUUGUGCAAUAUUGCGCUAUAAACCGUGUCAGGGCAGGAAUGCAGCAGCACUAAGUAGUUGUUAAUAUGUGCCACAAGGUAGCCUUGCGGGAGAUAUUAGUUUA
rnacentral:SRP_RNA from 1 species